UACGAAGGGGGCGAGCGUUGUUCGGAUUUACUGGGCGUAAAGGGCGCGCAGGCGGCUCUGCAAGUCAGAUGUGAAAGCCCCGGGCUUAACCUGGGAACUGCAUUUGAUACGUGUGAUCUAGAGUGAGGAAGAGGGUCGUGGAAUUCCCAGUGUAGAGGUGAAAUUCGUAGAUAUUGGGAAGAACACCGGUGGCGAAGGCGGCGACCUGGUCCUUGACUGACGCUGAGGCGCGAAAGCGUGGGGAGCAAACAGG
rnacentral:rRNA from 1 species